GCCUUUGUAGCUCAGUUGGUUAGAGCACUGCACCGGAAUCGCAGGGCCGUAGGUUCAAUGCCUACCAGAGGAC